CCUUAGUACGGCGAGUGAAGCGGCAAAAGCUCAAAUUUGAAAUCUGGUACCUUCGGUGCCCGAGUUGUAAUUUGGAGAGGGCAACUUUGGGGCCGUUCCUUGUCUAUGUUCCUUGGAACAGGACGUCAUAGAGGGUGAGAAUCCCGUGUGGCGAGGAGUGCGGUUCUUUGUAAAGUGCCUUCGAAGAGUCGAGUUGUUUGGGAAUGCAGCUCUAAGUGGGUGGUAAAUUCCAUCUAAAGCUAAAUAUUGGCGAGAGACCGAUAGCGAACAAGUACAGUGAUGGAAAGAUGAAAAGAACUUUGAAAAGAGAGUGAAAAAGUACGUGAAAUUGUUGAAAGGGAAGGGCAUUUGAUCAGACAUGGUGUUUUGUGCCCUCUGCUCCUUGUGGGUAGGGGAAUCUCGCAUUUCACUGGGCCAGCAUCAGUUUUGGUGGCAGGAUAAAUCCAUAGGAAUGUAGCUUGCCUCGGUAAGUAUUAUAGCCUGUGGGAAUACUGCCAGCUGGGACUGAGGACUGCGACGUAAGUCAAGGAUGCUGGCAUAAUGGUUAUA
rnacentral:rRNA from 1 species